rnacentral:tRNA from 1 species
GCCUGGCUGGCUUAGUUGGUAGAGCAUGUGAUUCUUGAUCCCAGGGUUGUGAGUUUAAGCCCCACACUGGGUG